rnacentral:rRNA from 1 species
AAUUGGCGGGGGAGCACCGCAACGGGAGGAGCGUGCGGUUUAAUUGGAUUCAACGCCGAAAAACUCACCAGCAGCGACUGUUACAUGAAAGUCAGGUUGAUGACCUUACUAGAUUUUCAGAGAGGUGGUGCAUGGCCGUCGUCAGUUCGUACCGUAAGGCGUUCUCUUAAGUGAGAUAACGAACAAGACCCUCACCAAUAGUUGCUACCGUAUCCCCCGGGGUACGAGCACACUAUCGGGACCGCUGGCGCUAAGUCAGAGGAAGGAGAGGUCAACGGUAGGUCAGUAUGCCCCGAAUCUGCUGGGCUACACGCGCGCUACAAAGGGCGGGACAAUGGGCUCCGACGCCGAAAGGCGAAGGCAAUCUCGAAACCCGUCCGUAGUUCGGAUUGAGGGUUGUAACUCACCCUCAUGAAGCUGGAUUCCGUAGUAAUCGCGAAUCAACAACUCGCGGUGAAUAUGCCCCUGCUCCUUGCACACACCGCCCGUCAAACCACCCGAGUUGGGUUUCAGUGAGGCUGUCUCUUCCUGGGAUUGUCGAACUGAGAUUUAGCAAGGAGGGUUAAGUCGUAACAAGGUAUCUGUAGGGGAACCUGCAGAUG